rnacentral:misc_RNA from 1 species
CCGAGUUAUACAACUCAUCAACCCUGUGAACAUACCUAUAACGUUGCCUCGGCGGGAACAGACGGCCCCGUGUUACGGGGCCGUCUGUUCCCGCCGAUUGGACAAUUUAAAACCAUUUGCAGUUGCAAUCAGCGCCUGAAAAAACUUAAUAGUUA